UACGAAGGGGGCUAGCGUUGCUCGGAAUCACUGGGCGUAAAGGGUGCGUAGGCGGGUCUUUAAGUCAGGGGUGAAAUCCUGGAGCUCAACUCCAGAACUGCCUUUGAUACUGAAGAUCUUGAGUUCGGGAGAGGUGAGUGGAACUGCGAGUGUAGAGGUGAAAUUCGUAGAUAUUCGCAAGAACACCAGUGGCGAAGGCGGCUCACUGGCCCGAUACUGACGCUGAGGCGCGAAAGCGUGGGGAGCAAACAGGAUUAGAUACCCUGGUAGUCCACGCCGUAAACGAUGUGUGCUAGACGUUGGGAGGCGUAGCCUCUCGGUGUCGCAGCUAACGCGUUAAGCACACCGCCUGGGGAGUACGGCCGCAAGGUUAAAACUCAAAUGAAUUGACGG
rnacentral:rRNA from 1 species